AGGGGUGAAAGGCCAAUCAAACUGGGAGAUAGCUCGUACUCCCCGAAAUGCAUUUUGGUGCAGCGUUAGGAAGAGUGUGCUGGAGGUAGAGCUACCAAUAGGGCUAGGGGGCUUCACGGCCUACCAACCCCUGAUGAACUCCGAAUGCCAGCACAUUGCACUAGCAGUGAGGCGUGGGGUGCUAAGGUCACACGCCGAGAGGGGAACAACCCAGACCAACAGCUAAGGUCCCCAAAUGAUAUCUAAGUUGAACAAACGAUGUGAGAAUGCUAAGACAGCUAGGAUGUUGGCUUGGAAGCAGCCAUUCAUUUAAAGAGUGCGUAACAGCUCACUAGUCGAGCGUUCUUGCGCGGAAAAUAAUCGGGCAUCAAGAUAUCUACCGAAGCUUUGGAUUCAUAGUAAUAUGAGUGGUAGGGGAGCAUUCUAGAGCGUUGAAGCCGUACUGUGAGGUAUGGUGGAGCGAAGAGAAAAGCAAAUGUAGGCAUGAGUAACGAUAAUUAAGAUGAGAAAUCUUAACGCCGUAAGACUAAGGGUUCCUAGAUCUAUGUUAAUCAGAUCAGGGUUAGUCGGGUCCUAAGGUGUACCCAAGAGGGGAAGCUGAUGGCAAGCCGGUUAAUAUUCCGGCACCUGUAUAUACUGCGAUGGGGGGACGAAGGAGCGUAAGGCUGGCCACGAGACGGAAUACGUGGUUGAAGUGCGUAGAUGUUGAUUCGGUAGGCAAAUCCGCCGGAGAGUUGAAACACGAUAGUAUUCUGAUGACUUCGGUCAUUGGGAAUAAAGCCCCAAGCAAGCUUCCGAGAAAAGCCUCUAAGCUUCAGGUAUAUAGAGCCCGUACCGCAAACCGACACAGGUGGUCGAGGAGAGUAUCCUAAGGCGCUCGAGUGAUCCGUGGCUAAGGAACUAGGCAAAAUAGUCUCGUAACUUCGGGAGAAGAGACGCCCCGCGUGAGCGGGGCCGCAGUGAAGAGGCCCAGGCGACUGUUUAGCAAAAACACAGGACUCUGCAAAUUCGAAAGAAGAAGUAUAGGGUCUGACACCUGCCCGGUGCUGGAAGGUUAAGAGAGGGGGUUAGCGCAAGCGAAGCUCUUAAUUGAAGCCCCAGUAAACGGCGGCCGUAACUAUAACGGUCCUAAGGUAGCGAAAUUCCUUGUCGGGUAAGUUCCGACCUGCACGAAUGGUGUAACGAUCUGGGCACUGUCUCAGCCACGAGCUCGGUGAAAUUGAAGUAUCGGUGAAGAUGCCGAUUACCCGCAAUGGGACGAAAAGACCCCGUGAACCUUUACUAUAACUUCACAUUGGGCUUGAAUAUAAGAUGUGUAGGAUAGGUGGGAGACUGCGAAGUUGUCACGCUAGUGGUGAUGGAGUCGGCGUUGAAAUACCACCCUUUUUAUAUUUAGGUCCUAAUCCCUGGAAAGAGGGAGACAGUGUGUGGCGGGUAGUUUGACUGGGGUGGUCGCCUCCGAAAGAGUAACGGAGGCUUGCAAAGGUACCCUCAGUGCCGUUGGUAACGGUACGCAGAGCAUAUUAGUAGAAGGGUGCUUGACUGAGAGACUGACGGGUCGAUCAGGGUCGAAAGACGGCUAAAGUGAUCCGGUGUUUCCGCAUGGAAGGGACAUCGCUCAAAGGAUAAAAGGUACUCCGGGGAUAACAGGCUGAUCUCCCCCAAGAGCUCAUAUCGACGGGGAGGUUUGGCACCUCGAUGUCGGCUCGUCACAUCCUGGGGCUGGAGAAGGUCCCAAGGGUUGGGCUGUUCGCCCAUUAAAGUGGCACGUGAGCUGGGUUCAGAACGUCGCAAGACAGUUCGGUCUCUAUCUAUUGUGGGCGUUGGAAUAUUGAGGAGUCCUGACACUAGUACGAGAGGACCGUGUUGGACGAACCGCUAGUGUACCUGUUGUGGCGCCAGCUGCAGUGCAGGGUAGCUAUGUUCGGACUGGAUAAGCACUGAAAGCAUCUAAGUGCGAAGCCAUCUCCAAGAUGAGUAUUCCUUGAAGGGUCGUAGAAGAUGACUACGUUGAUAGGCUACAGGUGGAAGUGCAGUAAUGUAUGGAGCUGAGUAGUACUAAUUACCCGAAAGCUUCCUUU
rnacentral:rRNA from 1 species